GAUGAACGCUGGCGGCGUGCCUAGUACAUGCAAGUCGAGCGGAAAGGCCCUUCGGGGUACUCGAGCGGCGGACGGGUGAGUAACGCGUAAGAAUGUACCCCAAAGUGAGGAAUAACUGCUCGAAAGAGUAGCUAAUGCCGCAUGUGCUCUUCGGAGGAAAGCUUUAUGCGCUUUGGGAACAGCUUGCGUCUGAUUAGCUAGUUGGUAAGGUAGCGGCUUACCAAGGCGACGAUCAGUAGCUGGUCUGAGAGGAUGAUCAGCCACACUGGGACUGAGACACGGCCCAGACUCCUACGGGAGGCAGCAGUAGGGAAUUUUCCACAAUGGACGAGAGUCUGAUGGAGCAACGCCGCGUGCUGGAUGAAGGCCUUCGGGUCGUAAACAGCUUUUGUCUGUGACGAAUAUGACGGUAGCAGACGAAUAAGGAUCGGCUAACUACGUGCCAGCAGCCGCGGUAA
rnacentral:rRNA from 1 species